UGGGUCUCCAUCUGCUUUUGGACUACACUUCCCAUCAUCACUGACCACUGGUCCUGCUAGCUAGGGAUGAUGGGCAUUGUAGUCCAAAAGCAGCUGGAGACCCA
rnacentral:miRNA from 1 species